UACGUAGGGUGCGAGCGUUGUCCGGAAUUAUUGGGCGUAAAGAGCUCGUAGGCGGCUUGUCACGUCGGUUGUGAAAGUCCGGGGCUUAACCCCGGGUCUGCAGUCGAUACGGGCAGGCUAGAGUUCGGUAGGGGAGAUCGGAAUUCCUGGUGUAGCGGUGAAAUGCGGAGAUAUCAGGAGGAACACCGGUGGCGAAGGCGGAUCUCUGGGCCGUAACUGACGCUGAGGAGCGAAAGCGUGGGGAGCGAACAGG
rnacentral:rRNA from 1 species